rnacentral:rRNA from 1 species
UGGGGAAUAUUGGACAAUGGGGGGAACCCUGAUCCAGCCAUGCCGCGUGUGUGAAGAAGGCCUUAUGGUUGUAAAGCACUUUAAGCGAGGAGGAGGGUACUGGUAUUAAUACUACCAGGUACUGGACGUUACUCGCAGAAUAAGCACCGGCUAACUCUGUGCCAGCAGCCGCGGUAAUACAGAGGGUGCGAGCGUUAAUCGGAUUUACUGGGCGUAAAGCGUGCGUAGGCGGCUAAUUGAGUCGGAUGUGAAAUCCCCGAGCUUAACUUGGGAAUUGCAUUCGAUACUGGUUAGCUAGAGUGUGGGAGAGGAUGGUAGAAUUCCAGGUGUAGCGGUGAAAUGCGUAGAGAUCUGGAGGACUACCGAUGGCGAAGGCAGCCAUCUGGCCUAACACUGACGCUGAGGUACGAAAGCAUGGGGAGCAAACAGG